GAACAACUUAAAGCCUGAUCCCAGGGAGUUGCCCGAAAGGUGAUUUGAGUAAUUUAUUGAAUGGAAAGAACAAAUUACCUAUUGAGGCGGUGGGCAGCGUCUGGAAAUGAUAUUAGGACUUCAGCAAAGUGCACAGCUGCAUGACACAGAAGCCGGGACUCAGAUUGACAGGCAAAUAAGCCAGCUCGUGCAAGGGGCCUCUGGGUGGCAGCUCUGGGCUAUUGGGUGUUGGACAACUGUAGGCAAAACAGAAAUGGAACAGGGGCAGAAAAUAGCACACUUUUACGCUACGCAACUGUGGCUUUCGCAUGGUUAUUGAUCAUUAAAAUGGCAUUGUAAAGAGAGGACUCAGAAAUAACAGAGCUUGUUGCUGCUUCUGAGAUAAAGGAAAUUCUCGAUGUCAAGAUUCAAACAGAAAAGAGAAUGAAAUACACAAAAUGGUAAGUGACUUGCAAAUAGACCAGAGUAGCCAAUUUUCUAAUGCUCUGUUGUGUAGUUAUCAUUUGUAAGUUGCACAC
rnacentral:lncRNA from 1 species